rnacentral:lncRNA from 1 species
GAAGAUAAGGAGAAUGAGAAAUAAAAUAAGCACCCUAAUAGUAUUUGAAGAGUCAAAUAUCACAGACCAGGGGAUGAUCAAACAGGCUAUAGUUGAAUUUUAUCAGAACCUCAUGGGGACUGCAGUGGCUAAUAGUGAAUAUGCUAGUAUGGAUGUUAUAAGAAGUGGUCGGUAGUGAAGGAUACAAAAACCAUGGAGCUCUGCAGGGAUGUGACUGAUGAAGAAAUUAAAGUAGCUAUGUGGUCAAUUGGGUAUGGUAAAGCGCUAGGAAUUGAUGGGUUCAAAAGUUACUUUUUCAGAAAAUCCUAGGCCAUAGUGGAAAGAGAGGUCAUAGAGGCCAUCAAGGAGUUUUUCACUACUGGUAAACUGCUGAAAUAGCUCAGUGUGACCACUCUCACUAUCAUCCCUAAGACAGAGAACCCUACUGGGCUGACUGACUAUAGGCCUAUUGCAUUUUGAAUUGUUUUAUACAAGGUGAUUACUAAGAUCCUAGCUGGGAAAAUGGGGAAAAUAUUGAGCAGAAUUGUAAAUUGCAGUCAAUCAACAUUUAUUCCUAGAAAGAGGAUUGUAGAUAAUAUUCUUCUGGUCCAUGAACUGGUGAGAAACUAACAUAGAGCUAGUGGGCCUCCUAGAUGUGCUAUGAAGGUUGAUCUUAGGAAGGCUUAUGACUCAGUGUGUUGGGACUUUAUUGAAGUAUGUUUUGGGGUCUGAACUUUCCUAGUAAAUUUAUUUCAUGGAUCAUGCAAUGUGUGAGGACUCCUUGGUACUGUAUUCUGGUUAAUGGUAGUAUUGAAGGUCUUUUUUUGUGGAAAGAAAGGUAUAAGGCAUGGGGAUCCUAUUUCACCUCUUCUGUUUGUUGUGACUAUAUUCUACCUCUCCAGGUACCUAUCAGCAAAUAUCCCUCAAUCUUUCAGAUUUCAUAAUAGUUGUAAAGAAGUGAAGCUAAAUCACCUGUGUUUUGCUGAUGAUCUAUUUCUGUUUAGCUAUGGGGAUACAAACUCUGUGGGUUUCUUGGCUGAUGCAUUAAAGCAUUUUGAAAAAUAUCAAGGUUGCAAGUUAAUGAAAGUAAAAGCUCAAUUUACUUUUCAAGUGUCAAUGAGCAAGUUAGAGAGAAGGUUUUGGAGAAGCUGAAUUUUAGAGAAGGAAAUCUUCCUGUUAAGUAUUUGAGAUUACCUUUGGUCUCCACAUCUAUAAACAAAGAGCACUGCCAGAAGCUAGUGGACAAGAUAACUGCAAGAAUUACAUGUUGGGUUAGUAAUCAUUUAUCUUAUAUAGAGAGGGUUCAGCUGGUUAAUUAUGUUCUCAGAAGUUUAUAUGUAUACUGGUAUUGUGUUUUUAUCUUAUCUAAGGCAGUGAUUAAAGAAGUUGAUAUAUAAGAUAGACAAAGAUUCCUUUGGACAGGCGGAUCAGAGAGUAAAAGGGGAAGGAAUGCAGCCUAAGAAGGUGUUUGUAAGCCAAAAAAAUGAGGAAGGCCUAGAAAUAAAGGAUUUAAUUGCAUGGAAUAAAGCUGAUGUGGGUAAACUUAUCUGGGAACUGUUAACUGCUAAGUCACCCCUUUGGGCAGAAUGGGUUAAAAAAACAAACUGAAACUCUUUGAGUUUUGGGGUAUUACCAAACCCAUGGAUGCUAGCUAGGCUAGAGGCACUUGGUUAAUCUAAGGAGUACUUUUAGAAACUUUUACCAGUACACUCUAGGGAAGGGGGAGGUUUCUUUUUGGUUUGAUCCAUGGUUGGAAGGAAAGAGCAGUAUAGAUAGAUACCCAUCCUUAAUCUUUGUCGAUGCAGAUAUUCCAAAACAAGCGAGAGUGAAAGAUCAUCAGAGAAAUGGAAGGUGGAGAUUACCUAAUCAAUCUGAUGUAAUUUCUGAGGAAGCUUAGAAAAAAAAAUAAAGAAGUACAAAAUACAUGAAGACCUUGAGGAUGGAAUAAAAUGGAGCUUAACUUCAUCAUGUCAGUUCUCCAUAGCUAGCGCUUGGAAAGCUAUAAGGAGCAGAAAUGUGAAAGUGACCAAGUGCAAACUAGCUUGGGGAUAGGUUGUUAUCCCUAGGCAUGGCUUCAUCACAUGGUUAGCUUUAAAAGGAAGGCUUGCAGUUAAAGCUAGGCUUCAAAAAUGGGGAAUUAUUGAAAAUGCUGCAUGUGCUUUAUGCUACCAAAGGGAAGAGACUAUCGAGCAUUUGUUCUUUAACUGUUAGUUCACUAGCAAGAUCUAGAAUAAUGUUUUGUACAGAUGUAGGACAAAUAGGACAAAUAGAACUGGUUUGAGAUGGAGGAGAGAGAUCAACUGGUUCAGUUAAAAAGCUAUUAGAAAAAGUCAAAUUGCUACAUACAGAAGGGUUGCUUUCAAUGGUACAAUUUAUUACAUAUAGCAAGAAAGAAAUAAAGUUGUAUAUGAAAAUAGUGAACCAAAUGAAAUGCGAGUGAUUCAGAAAUCAUCUAGUAUGUUAGAAUGAACCUAGCAAACUCUUGUGGAUCAGUGGAUUGGAGCAAAUGGGUAUGAGUAUGGUUGCACACUCCCAGGUUAUUUUCUGCUACAGUUUUUGGGUGAUGUAUCUUACUUUGAAGUUGCACCUAAUAUGAUCUAUUCCAAAAUUAACUUCCUAUGGCAAAGGAUGGAACGUUGUAGUUUCUUGACUCUUCUCCCUUGGCAAUGGAAGGUUCUGUUUGCGAGUCUUAAAGUUGGUCAGGCUAAUAGAUAUGGCAAUGGAUGAUUUUCGGUUUUUGUUAUUUCUUCAAAUGAGAUGUUUGAUGGUUGCUACUACUGUAAUGGGUUACACCUUUAUGUUUUUUUUAAAGCUUAACUAUCUACAGGGAUGGAGUUGAGGUGAUUCGACCUGGAGUUCUGUGUGUGUGGGUAUGCAAUGGUGGUGAUCUCCUGCAAUGAGGGUUUUGAUGGCAAAGAAGCUGGAACUUUUAUUAAUUUGCAAUGUUGAUAUGAGGUCUUAGUAUUUGAUGCUUAUGAUUGAUUUCUUUAGAUAGGUUUACUGUUUGUUUGAUUUGAUUAAUUUCAAAUAGGUACGAGUGAGUAAGAGUUCUAUGCUGUGAGGCUUUUGUAUAUAAACAGGUGUCCUAGUUGUUUUGUACAAUUUAGUUUUUUUGGAAAUAAAAUGAGUUAUUGAUAAAAAAAUAAAAUAUAAUAAAUUUUAAUUAAAAUAGAAAAAUAAAUCUUAGAUAAAAUAG